CACAAGCGGUGGAUGAUGUGGUUUAAUUCGAUGCAACGCGAAAACCUUACCCACCUUUGACAUGUACGGAACCCUUUAGAGAUAGAGGGGUGCUCGAAAGAGAGCCGUAACACAGGUGCUGCAUGGCUGUCGUCAGCUCGUGUCGUGAGAUGUUGGGUUAAGUCCCGCAACGAGCGCAACCCUUGUCAUUAGUUGCUACAUUCAGUUGGGCACUCUAAUGAGACUGCCGGUGACAAGCCGGAGGAAGGUGGGGAUGACGUCAAGUCCUCAUGGCCCUUAUAGGUGGGGCUACACACGUCAUACAAUGGCUGGUACAAAGGGUUGCCAACCCGCGAGGGGGAGCCAAUCCCAUAAAGCCAGUCGUAGUCCGGAUCGUAGUCUGCAACUCGACUACGUGAAGUCGGAAUCGCUAGUAAUCGUGGAUCAGAAUGUCACGGUGAAUACGUUCCCGGGUCUU
rnacentral:rRNA from 1 species